rnacentral:rRNA from 1 species
AGAGUUUGAUCCUGGCUCAGAUUGAACGCUGGCGGCAGGCCUAACACAUGCAAGUCGAGCGGUAGCACAGAGAGCUUGCUCUCGGGUGACGAGCGGCGGACGGGUGAGUAAUGUCUGGGAAACUGCCUGAUGGAGGGGGAUAACUACUGGAAACGGUAGCUAAUACCGCAUAACGUCGCAAGACCAAAGUGGGGGACCUUCGGGCCUCAUGCCAUCAGAUGUGCCCAGAUGGGAUUAGCUAGUAGGUGGGGUAACGGCUCACCUAGGCGACGAUCCCUAGCUGGUCUGAGAGGAUGACCAGCCACACUGGAACUGAGACACGGUCCAGACUCCUACGGGAGGCAGCAGUGGGGAAUAUUGCACAAUGGGCGCAAGCCUGAUGCAGCCAUGCCGCGUGUGUGAAGAAGGCCUUCGGGUUGUAAAGCACUUUCAGCGGGGAGGAAGGCGGUGAGGUUAAUAACCUCAUCGAUUGACGUUACCCGCAGAAGAAGCACCGGCUAACUCCGUGCCAGCAGCCGCGGUAAUACGGAGGGUGCAAGCGUUAAUCGGAAUUACUGGGCGUAAAGCGCACGCAGGCGGUCUGUCAAGUCGGAUGUGAAAUCCCCGGGCUCAACCUGGGAACUGCAUUCGAAACUGGCAGGCUAGAGUCUUGUAGAGGGGGGUAGAAUUCCAGGUGUAGCGGUGAAAUGCGUAGAGAUCUGGAGGAAUACCGGUGGCGAAGGCGGCCCCCUGGACAAAGACUGACGCUCAGGUGCGAAAGCGUGGGGAGCAAACAGGAUUAGAUACCCUGGUAGUCCACGCCGUAAACGAUGUCGAUUUGGAGGUUGUGCCCUUGAGGCGUGGCUUCCGGAGCUAACGCGUUAAAUCGACCGCCUGGGGAGUACGGCCGCAAGGUUAAAACUCAAAUGAAUUGACGGGGGCCCGCACAAGCGGUGGAGCAUGUGGUUUAAUUCGAUGCAACGCGAAGAACCUUACCUGGUCUUGACAUCCACAGAACUUUCCAGAGAUGGAUUGGUGCCUUCGGGAACUGUGAGACAGGUGCUGCAUGGCUGUCGUCAGCUCGUGUUGUGAAAUGUUGGGUUAAGUCCCGCAACGAGCGCAACCCUUAUCCUUUGUUGCCAGCGGUUAGGCCGGGAACUCAAAGGAGACUGCCAGUGAUAAACUGGAGGAAGGUGGGGAUGACGUCAAGUCAUCAUGGCCCUUACGACCAGGGCUACACACGUGCUACAAUGGCAUAUACAAAGAGAAGCGACCUCGCGAGAGCAAGCGGACCUCAUAAAGUAUGUCGUAGUCCGGAUUGGAGUCUGCAACUCGACUCCAUGAAGUCGGAAUCGCUAGUAAUCGUAGAUCAGAAUGCUACGGUGAAUACGUUCCCGGGCCUUGUACACACCGCCCGUCACACCAUGGGAGUGGGUUGCAAAAGAAGUAGGUAGCUUAACCUUCGGGAGGGCGCUUACCACUUUGUGAUUCAUGACUGGGGUGAAGUCGUAACAAGGUAGCCG